AUGGAUCUCUGCGGCCAAGAACAAGAGGCAACAGGGGCAACUUGCUCGCGGAUGGACUGGAAGGUGGAGACGCCACGCGAGGAGGGUCAUGGUGCGGCUGCUUGCUGGUGGUGGAGAACUCCGGCAACGACGAGCUGCAAGAGGCCGGCCUUGCGAUCUUGCCAGAGUAGAACGGAGGCGGAGGGGCGAGCUCGACGGAGGCGAAGCCACGGACGCAGGGGCUGUCCAUGCAGAGCAGAGGAGGGUAGCAGGAGCGACAUCGAGGGAGUCCUGGCCUGGCAGAGCCGGCCAUCCAUGGCGGGCCAAGGUCACUGCAGCGAUGGAGGCGGUGGGACUACGCGAGGCAGGGGGCGCCGGAGUUGA
rnacentral:rRNA from 1 species